CGCAUAAUGCAAAUUCAUAAUCAAGAUGGCGGGCGCUGCUGCUGCACUGCUUGAUGAGUUGAUGGGCAAAAAUCGAAACAAUGCGCCUGAUGAAAAGUUUUCUGGUAUAAGAUGGAGUGAUGCAGAGGUCUGCAAACAUUAUCUGGUGGAUUUCUGCCCAAAUGAACUUUUUGUGAACACAAGAUCGGAUUUAGGUCAAUGCGAGAAAAUACAUGAUGAUCAUCUCAAAAAAGAAUACAUUGAGAGUAGUCGUUUCAAACGGAUGAACUAUGAAGAGGAGUUCUUGCAGUACUUGCAGCAGAUCAUGAACGAUGUGGAGAAAAGGAUUAAGAGAGGUCAUUCCAGACUGGCGCUCAACAGCAACAGACCAAAUCUGACAGCCCCUCACAGAGGCCCUGAUGAAGAGCAGAUCAAGAUCCUCUCAGAGCGCAUCACUUCACUGCUAGGUCAGGUGGAGUCCUUAGGCUGCGAGGGCAGGGUGGAUGAGGCCCAGAACAUGAUGAAGCUAUGUGAUAAACUCUCCUACGAGAGGGCAGAGCUGCAAGCAGCCUCAGAGGAAGCGCUGGACACCAUUCUUUCCCAAGAGAAACAGAUGGAAGUGUGUGAGGUUUGUGGAGCAUUCCUCAUCGUGGGCGACUCACAGACACGAGUAGAUGACCAUCUGAUGGGUAAACAGCACAUGGGAUUCGCCAAGAUCAAAUUGACCAUUGAAGAAAUACAGGAAAAAAAGGAUAAAGAAGUAACAGACCGGGAAGAUAAAAUCCGCAAAGAAAGAGAAGAGAGGGAAAAGGAAAGAGAAAAGGAGAGGGAAGAAAAGAGGAAAAAGGAGAGGGAAAAAGAAAAAGAGAGGGAAAAGGAGAGAGAAGAAAGACGUAAAGAGAGGGAAAAGAGAGAAAAAGAAAGGUCACGAAGGCGAUCACGGUCCAGAUCUCGCGACAGGAGGAGGAGGAGCAAGUCCCGCGAUCGCCGCCGAAGCAGAUCCCGUGAUAGGCGUCGCAGCCGCUCUCGAGACAGAACCCGUGACAGACGUCGCAGCAAAUCCAACGAGAAGCGUAGCAGCCGGUCGAGCGAUCGUCAUCAUCGAAGCAGAUCAAGAGAUCGUAGGAGGAGUCGUUCCAAGGAGAGGAGAAGAGAUAGAAGUCGUUCCAAGGAGAGGAGACGAGAUAGGAGUCGUUCCAAGGAGAGGAGAAGAAGUAGGUCCAAAGAGAGGAGAAGAGAUAGGAGUCGCUCGAAGGAGAGAAGAAGAGACAGGAGUCGUUCCAAGGAAAGGAGGCAUAGUAGGAGGAGCUCAAGAGAGAAGAGCAGCAGAUCAGAAGAAAGGGGUCAUAGCAAGUCACGGGAUGAGGAUCGUGAGGACAAGGACAGGAAAGAGAGUCAUGAGAGGUCCAAGUCAAGAUCUCCUGAGAAGGAUACCACAGAUGAUGUCACAAUGGAUCAGGCUCCACAGGAAGACCAAGAAGACUCAAUGAAGGGUGAAGAUGAUUCGAGCAAGCCAGAGGAGAGCAUGGAUGCUGCUAAUCCAGACCCAGCUACCACCACUGAUGACAGCGAGAUGGGGGAGGGGGAGGAGGAGAAGAGGGGCAAGGAGAAUGGAAUGGCUGGAGCUGGAGCUGGAGCUCAAGACCAAGAGGACGUGACAGUCGCUGAAGAUCAAGCUGCAUUUUAACUCUCAUCCUCCAGGUGACUCUUGUUGCCCCUAACAGGUGAGUGUCCCUACCCCUAUAACUGUUCCUGCUCCUUGACAAACCUCGCCCCAUACACACACAAAACUCCUUCACGAAACACCCCCUUCACAUAUGAAUUUAAGACACAAGGUCCUAUUCCUAUUUUCACUCAAAAGGGAUACAAAUAUUUGACUAAUCAAAUUCUAACCAAAGCUUUCAUCUUAAAAAUGCCCCCAGGAUGGAAAGAGAACGCACACAUGUGCAUACACUGGUACAGUCACAUGCACACACAAAAACUGCAAUCACCAACAAAAAAUAAACAACAUUAAAAUAGAAUGGGCCAUAAAAUUUAUUUUUUCCCUCUUUACAACAUUACUUCCUCUUGCAGCCCUGAGUAUUUACCUGUAAACUAUCCCAUUUAAUUCUAGCUGAUGAUUUUUUCCCUCGAUGUUAUGAGAAUUGUUUUGAUAAGCACUGUUUCCACAGGUACAGUAUGCCAUUAUACACUAGGCCCUGCCGGCCGCCUCUGUAUCUGUCGUUCCGAGUCUUGCAUUCCCAGAUCACACACCUCCCAUCAGCAUAUGAACCGAGGUAUGUGGACGUGAAGGAACACGGGGUGUUAAUAACAGAGACUCAGCUCCCUUCAUGCACUAGAAUUGAAGUCAAGGUGCAAUAAUCUAUUAAUUAGACGUGUUUCAAAUCUUUAUUGUAAAAUGAACACUUUGAAACAGUGGCCCGUGCCAUUAUACAGUUUACUUUUCAUUUUUCUAAUAACUGUGCUCAAGUCAGUGCUCUGUAUAUCUCAUUUGCAUUAGUGAUAACCUGCAUCACCUAUAUGUAAAGACCCCAUUUAUAAAGACUAGUACACAUCCCCAUUAAUCAGCAUUACUCUUCACUACCAAAGUAACAGAUCAUCAAGACUACUUGCCUUGAAAGUAUUCUUUCUUCUCUUGAGCAGUCUCUAUGCUAGAUUUGACAUAAAUAUAAAGCACUGCACUCCGUCUUCAGGUUUAAAGUUGUUUUUAGACUCUGCUUGAGUCAUCAGUAUGAAAUAAAUAUUACUACUUCGUAAGGGAAGGGGUUGAGGGUAAAUGAUAUUCUUUUAGAUUAGAAGUACAGGCAAAUGUCCUCUACAUUACUUGUAGUAAUAAAUGUAUCGUGGAAUUGGAAAUUCAAUAAUUCAGCUGGAAAUUUCAUUGAUGAAGCACUUAUUUUGAUGAGUAGUCGAGUCAUUUGACUUCUUAUGGCAUCUAUAUUUGACCAGAUGUUCAGUUGCGAUAUCUAAAACACCGGAAUCUAUCACAACCACAAAUUGUGAUGUGUGAGCAUAAAAAAGAACACUUGAUGUAAGCUGAAAUAAUCCUCCAAGAAGAAAUGUGUAAAUAGUAACAGUAUCGUUUUCAACUGUAGAAUGUUAAAUAGAAUAGAUUACCUGUACCCAUUUCAUUUAUGUCAUUGGGAUAUCUUUGUUUAGCUAAACUUCAUUUUUUCCCCCACUCAUUUUUUGCUCUCAUAUCACUUAUUUUAGCUUUUCCAAUCAAUCCAAUGUGCAGUUUCAGAAUGUCUGAACAAAGUCAACAGCAAAAUCACAAGAAAUGUUUUGUUAAAGAGAGAGAGAGUAGUAAUGAUAUGCCAUAUCAAUGACACUUGAUGAUAAAGGGAAGAUUAAAUUAUUGUGUGAAUUUGUUAUUUCAAUUAUGCUGAAUUGGAGACAAUUUUUCCUUCUCAAGAAUAUUGACCCACUUUGCCCUUCAAUCUUCACUUUCAAUGCUCAAGACUCCAGACCUAAAAGAAAACAUGUAGUUGUAUGUUACAUUUUUUGUACUAACUCUUAAAAAGAUGUAGUGGUUGUAAAUAUGUGUAAUUGUAGAAUUUUUUAAUAAUUAGUCAACAAGAUAGCUCUGAUAUACAUGUAGAUUUAGAGGUUUGUAAACGGCUGUGUGUUACGCUGCUUUUUUUAUAGUGAAGUAAAUCCAUGUACCAAGUUACCCAUGUGCUGAGGUAUGGCACAUUGGGUGACGUUAAAUCUGAAUUGUAUAAAACCCUGAAGCUGACUGAGUCCAAGAGGAGGGAGAGAGUUAACGGUCGGUCGUCCAAAGCCCAGCACUGUCAUGGCUUGUGUUUUUGCCGCAUCAUGUGAUAAGCAACACAGGAACGUGGUUCAUUUUUCAUGCUUACACAGAUCUCUAUACAGGGUGCACCAGCAGCCAGGCUACCUCACCACCAGAUGGAAGAGCACAUAGAGGGCGACAUUGGGCAAUGGCAUCAAUUCACAGCACUUCAAGUGGCUUCAGUAUAGGUUAGAGCUUUAGCGUAGUCAAAGUUGUACUUCAGUAAUAUCUCAUUAUGGGGAUUCUUUUUUGUUGCUCCUUUUUACAUAACAUGAAAUUUGAAUUACCCAUGCCUUGUCAAAUGGUUUCUGUUCCCCCUCUCUCUGUACUCUGUUUUAUUGCCCCCAAGAAUGAACAGGGGGUUUUGCUGCAUAAAAGAAGAAUCAGUCUUUGCUCAAUAUUUGUUUAUAUGUAUAUAACCUCUCUGUAGCGCUCUUCUGAGCAUAAUAAUGUUUCCUACCAAGCAAGCAAGGUUUUCUUAUUUUCAUCAAGCCCGGAGGUGGUUACCAACACCCAGAUUUUCUUGAACAGUUAUAAUGUGGCCAUGCAUUAGUCUUCAUUUAUCAGGUAUGUGUAGUUUAAGAAUAUGUAAUACAGCAGUCUGAACAAUCAACACAGAUCUUCUAUUUUUUUCAAGCAUAAAGGGUAGAAUCAAACAUUUUGGAACAUUUAGAAUCUCUUCAUGUCUUCUGAUUCAAGUCUGAAAUGAUGUCCUUUACUGAAACUACAUACUACACUUUAUGGUUGUUAAAGAAAAUGAAGAAUUAUUAUUGGUGAUGAUGAGAAUAUGUAAAAUGCUCAAAAUAUUCAUGUUAAUCAGGGUACAGAUAUUAUGUUGGUAGCCUUCUUUGUAAAAGAAAAUCUCUAUGUUGGAUUAAACUCACUGGCCCGAAUUCACAAAGGAGG